rnacentral:rRNA from 1 species
GAAUCUUCCACAAUGGGCGAAAGCCUGAUGGAGCAAUGCCGCAUGAGUGAAGAAGGAUUUCGGUUCGUAAAACUCUGUUGCAAGGGAAGAACAAGUAGCGUAGUAACUGGCGCUACCUUGACGGUACCUUGUUAGAAAGCCACGGCUAACUACGUGCCAGCAGCCGCGGUAAUACGUAGGUGGCAAGCGUUGUCCGGAAUUAUUGGGCGUAAAGCGCGCGCAGGUGGUUCCUUAAGUCUGAUGUGAAAGCCCACGGCUCAACCGUGGAGGGUCAUUGGAAACUGGGGAACUUGAGUGCAGAAGAGGAUAGUGGAAUUCCAAGUGUAGCGGUGAAAUGCGUAGAGAUUUGGAGGAACACCAGUGGCGAAGGCGACUAUCUGGUCUGUAACUGACACUGAGGCGCGAAAGCGUGGGGAGCAAACAG